GGGGGCAUGCCUAGUGGUAGGGCCUUGUCUAGAAUGCAAGAGACUCUGGGUUCAAUCCUCAGUGCCACAA
rnacentral:tRNA from 1 species